CAGCAAUUCUCUAUCCUACGUGGCGCUCUCAAAAGUCUCUAUUUCGAUUUAUCUAAAUUCUACCUUUUACGCCUUCGAAAAAACUCAGCUUCUCACAGUAAUCAAUCUGCAAAUACCUUGAUUUGGUAUUUUCUCCCCAUCGCUUGAUCUAUGGCGCAAAUUUCUCUCUCCAUAUCAAUGCAAAUGCCCUAAUUUGGUAUCUAACGCUCUACCAUAGGAGCCUCCGAGGCAUGCCAGCUCUUCUCUGACGCCCUACCAUAUAUGCGGCCUCUCUUGCUCUCCCAUCGCCUCUCUCCCAUUCCCAAAUCUAUAAUCCUAAGUCGUUGCCGCUAGCUUCAUCUCCUCCAGUCGCCGCCGCCGCCGACUGCAGCUCACCAGGGAAUGCCCCAUUCUUUUCAACAUUGAGCUCAAACACGUUUGGUUCCAGAACCGCAGGUAAAAUUCCGUAUUAUACCAUGCCUCCCAAGAGGAAUGCAGAUGAGCCUUCUGAGGCAAGGAUCGUCACUGAACUUGGGAAGGAAUUCAACAUAGAUGAAGUUUAUGGCAGCGAAUCAACUAUUAUAGGCAGUUUGAAAUCAGUGAAUGACUUCAAUCCAGUUGAAGUUCCUUCAAAUUCCCCUUUGAAUUUUGAUAUGGUGAUGCUUGAGGACAAAGAACCACCUCAGGGCAAUGAUGACGAUCAGCCCAUGGCAUCUGGAGAAGAAGAUGGAAAAGUUAAUGCAAAGGAGAAAUCUGCUACUGUCAAGCAAAAUGAAAAGCUGUAUGUUGAGGAAGGCAUGCUAAAUACAAAGAUGAGAAAAGCAGGCGGAAAAAGAAAAAUCAGCCAUCUGCGAUGAAAUAUGAUGGAAACGAUGAUUACGACUUCAAGGUUGACUACACGAAGGACUCAGCCAUGGAAACUGGAGAUGAGGUUGAAGAUGAUGAAACUAAGAAGAAUAGAUUUGAGCUACCUUCUGGAGUAGAGUUGGACAAUGAAUGACCAAAAAGAGAGAUAGCCAUUGAUGACUGUGAGUUUGAGUUUGUGAAAGUGCUAUAACUUUUGGCUUGAAUGAUGCUCUUAGUGGAUUCCCAAGUAGAGAAGCAUCUUGAUUUCGAACAGAAGUCAGACCAUUUCCUUGACUUUAUUGUUUACACACAUGACCCCAACAGGAAUAUUUCUUUAAUGUGGCACUCAUCUGUGCCUAGGUGAGAGUUAGUGUCUUUUCUUUCUUUUACUAUUGACGGUUAAUUCACAUAUCAUAUUGAGUUACUUUGCUACAUGUUUCAUUGGAUUUGUUUUAGUGUACUGAUGAAGAUAAAAUGUUUGAUUUUUGCCACA